rnacentral:lncRNA from 1 species
AAGGAGAAUGUCUUCAUCACGGAACUAAUAACUCCGUUAGUAAAAAAAAAUCUUUGACUUUGAGACUUAUUCUUUAAGAUUAGUAUUAAAAAAAAUAUGGUAUACUAUGAAGGCCGUCCUAUAUAAUAUUCUAUAGUCCCCACCCCAUAUGAUUUUUGUUCCUAAUUCUAGAAGUAAGUUUCAUGAAAUGAAUCACAUCUUGCUUCGGAACGCACCAACAUGGAAUCAUGUUAGGAAAAUACCGUUGCAUUGAGAUGAUCCUUUAUAAGAUUUGGCCAUCUCUUUUGUGUAAAUAGAGCAACGGAAAGAGAAAGCAAA